GUCCCUAUAGUUCAAGGGAAAGAACAAGACUCUCCUAAAGUCUAGAUGCAGGUUCGAAUCCUGCUGGGGAUAC
rnacentral:tRNA from 9 species